GGAGAAGUACCCAAGUACGGCUGAAGGGGCUCCCCUGCUAAGGGAGUAGGCUGAGGUGAUCGGCGCGAGGGUUCAAAUCCCUCCUUCUCCGCCA
rnacentral:tRNA from 1 species